AACUUUUAGCAAUGGAUCUCUUGGCUCUCGCAUCGAUGAGAACGCAGCGAAAUGCGAUAAGUAAUUUGAAUUGCAGAAUUCAGUGAAUCAUCGAAUCUUUGAACGCAUCUUGCGCUCCUUGGUAUUCCGAGGAGCAUGCCUGGUUGAGUGUCAUUCAACUUAUCAACCACUUACUUCAUUGAUUUGUGGCUUGGACGGUGGGGUGUGCGGGCCUUUCUCGAGGUCGGCUCCCCUGAAAUGCAUUAGCGGUAUCUUGAGCUUACCACUAUGUAGGUGUGAUAAAAAUAUCUAUGCCUGUCUGGUAUGCUGUGGUUGUGCUGCUCGUAACACGAACUCUGAUGAAUUUGACCUCAAAUCAGGCAGGACUACCCGCUGAACUUAAGCAUAUCAAUAAGCGGAGGCU
rnacentral:misc_RNA from 1 species